rnacentral:rRNA from 1 species
UACGUAGGGUGCGAGCGUUAAUCGGAAUUACUGGGCGUAAAGCGUGCGCAGGCGGUUUUGUAAGUCUGUCGUGAAAUCCCCCGGGCUCAACCUGGGAAUUGCGAUGGAGACUGCAAGGCUAGAAUCUGGCAGAGGGGGGUAGAAUUCCACGUGUAGCAGUGAAAUGCGUAGAGAUGUGGAGGAACACCGAUGGCGAAGGCAGCCCCCUGGGUCAAGAUUGACGCUCAUGCACGAAAGCGUGGGGAGCAAACAGGAUUAGAAACCCGUGG